CCUACGGGAGGCAGCAGUGGGGGAUAUUGCACAAUGGGGGAAACCCUGAUGCAGCGACGCCGCGUGGGUGAAGAAGCGCCUCGGCGCGUAAAGCCCUGUCAGCAGGGAAGAAAAUGACGGUACCUGAAGAAGAAGCCCCGGCUAACUACGUGCCAGCGGCCGCGGUAAUACGUAGGGGGCAAGCGUUAUCCGGCUUUACUGGGUGUAAAGGGGGCGCAAACGGCGAUGCAAGCCAGUAGUGAAAGCCCGGGGCCCAACCCCGGGACUGCGCUUGGAACUGCGUGUCGAGAGUGCAGGAGGGGCAGGCGGAAUGCCUGGUGUAGCGGUGAAAUGCGUAGAUAGCAGGAGGAACACCGGUGGCGAAGGCGGCCUGCUGGACUGCAACUGACGUUGAGGCCCGAAAGCGUGGGGAGCAAACAGGAUUAGAUACCCCGGUAGUC
rnacentral:rRNA from 1 species